UUACGGAGAGUUUGAUUCUGGCUCAGAACGAACGCUGGCGGCGUGGAUAAGACAUGCAAGUCGAACGGAACCAGUUUGUGUAGCAAUACAUGGAUUGGUUCAGUGGCGAACGGGUGAGUAACAGGUGGGAAUCUACCAUGAAGUUCGGAAUAGCUCUCCGAAAGGGGAAUUAAUACCGGAUGUGAUCGAAAGAUUAAAGCUGGGGACCGCAAGGCCUGGCGCUUCUUGAUGAGCCCGCCUCCUAUCAGCUAGUUGGUGGGGUAACGGCCCACCAAGGCUUUGACGGGUAGCUGGUCUGAGAGGACGACCAGCCACACUGGGACUGAGACACGGCCCAGACACCUACGGGUGGCAGCAGUCGAGGAUUUUUCUCAAUGGGGGAAACCCUGAAGGAGCGACGCCGCGUGGAGGAUGAAGGGCUUCGGCUCGUAAACUCCUGUCACUAGGGAACAAUUGUUGCAACCUAACACGUUGCAACUUGAUGGUACCUGGAGAGGAAGGCACGGCUAACUCUGUGCCAGCAGCCGCGGUAAUACAGAGGUGCCAAGCGUUGUUCGGAUUUACUGGGCGUAAAGGGUGCGUAGGUGGUUUGGUAAGUCAAAUGUGAAAUCCUGCAGCUCAACUGCAGAACUGCAUUCGAAACUGCCAAGCUAGAGUACUGGAGAGGAGAUCGGAAUUCUCGGUGUAGCAGUGAAAUGCGUAGAUAUCGAGAGGAACACCAGUGGCGAAGGCGGAUCUCUGGACAGUUACUGACACUGAGGCACGAAAGCCAGGGGAGCAAACGGGAUUAGAUACCCCGGUAGUCCUGGCCGUAAACGGUGCGUAUUUGAGAUAAGCGGAUUCGACCCCGCUUGUCUCGGAGCUAACGCGUUAAAUACGCCGCCUGGGGAGUACGGUCGCAAGAUUAAAACUCAAAGAAAUUGACGGGGGCCCGCACAAGCGGUGGAGCAUGUGGCUUAAUUCGAUGCAACGCGAAGAACCUUACCUGGCCUUGACAUGUACGUAGUAGAAGCCUGAAAGGGUGACGAGGUAGCAAUACCAGCGUACACAGGUGCUGCAUGGCUGUCGUCAGCUCGUGCCGUGAGGUGUUCGGUUAAGUCCGGUAACGAGCGCAACCCCUGUGUCUUGUUGCCACUCCGGCGAGAGUCGGAAGCACUCGAGACAGACUGCUCUGUGAAACGGAGAGGAAGGUGGGGAUGACGUCAAGUCAGUAUGGUCCUUACGGCCAGGGCUGCACACGUGCUACAAUGCCCGGUACAGAGGGAUGCCAAACCGCAAGGUGGAGCUAAUCCCAGAAAACCGGGCCCAGUUCAGAUUGCAGGCUGCAACUCGCCUGCAUGAAGUUGGAAUCGCUAGUAAUGGCGCAUCAGCUACGGCGCCGUGAAUACGUUCCCGGGCCUUGUACACACCGCCCGUCACACCAUGGAAGCUAGGGGAGCCCGACGUCCGUGCGCUAACUCGCAAGAGAGGCAGCGGCCUAAGGCUAAACUAGUGACUGGGGUGAAGUCGUAACAAGGUAGCCGUAGGGGAACCUGCGGCUGGAUCACCUCCUUUCUAAGGAG
rnacentral:rRNA from 1 species